GGUGCUGUUGUAGGAUGAAGCCUAAGAGUGAUCCAUCGGCAGAGCGCCAGGCGCUGUGGUGACACUCAAGCAGCUGACAAGAGCACG
rnacentral:snoRNA from 1 species